AUCUGCGCGAGAGUUUACCAUAUACAAAGAAGCGUUCGAAUCAACUUUAGGUAUAGUGUGCGCGCCUUCAAAUUCUUCUGUUCUUCUUACACACUUCUCAGCCCUGUAGUGAGUGGGACACGAACUUGCGCUAGCUAUAGCCUUUCGAAGAGAGAUUUCGCGCAGGAAAAUGUUGCGGAACCUCGUCAUUUGCGCUCUGCUUUUGCUAUUUCUGCAAGUUGUCGCCAAGGAGGAGGAAGAAGAAGAGUGCCACUCGACGCCAAUAACUUUCAAGUUGGUUUGCCGCAUAACAAUCCACCACAAAGGGUCCGUUCCCAAGAACCUCCAAAAUCCAAUCAACAAGAAAGAACUUCUCCAAAAGAUUUGCCCCUGUGGGCCUCCUGAGGUAGGGUUGCUGUGCCCGCCGGAGGUGCGCAGAUAUGUGGACAUUGGGUUCAGAAUGUGUCCAGAGUCGCUUCUUCUGGUCAGUUCUACUGGUGACCCAGUUGGGGACAAGGCAUCUCUCCUACAGAUAUUCUGCUUGGUUGUGUUAGUUGUGGUCUAUUUUGCCUUUUAAAAUUUGACUGUUAUAACUGUCCACACACACACACACACACACACACACACACACACACACACACACACACACAUAUAUAUAUAUAUAUAUAUAUAUAUAUAUAUAUAUAUAUAUAUAUAUAUAUAGUAAGUUGAAAAGGGUAUCUCCCUAAUAUCACAUAUAGAAAAAAACCUGUAAGCGGGUAGUGCGUCAGUUCACCUCAUGCGGUGCACUGUAGGCAUUACUUGAGGUUCUUUGCAGCGUGCCUUCGUCCCCUAGCUGCAACCCCUUUCAUUCCUUUUACUGUACCUCCUUUCAUAAUCACUUUCUUCCAUCUUAUUUUCCCCCCUUUCCUAACAGUUGAUUCAUCGUGCCACUGCGGGCUUUUCCUCCUCUUACACCUUUCAACCCAUUUGCUGUCAAUUUCUGUUUCAGGGCUGAAUGACCUCACAGGUCCCAGUGCUUGGCCUUUGACCCAAUUUUUAUAUUCAAUUCAAUUCACAAAUAGAAAAGAAAUAUAUUGAGAUGUGACCAACCAGUAAUAAGAAUAAUGUUUUAUUAUUAUUAAAAUUUUCUUUGUGAAGAAUAAAUUAAUAAAAUUGAUUAACUUGUAAUAAGAAUUAUGUUUCUUGUCAAGAUUAUUAUAAAAUUAAGUUCAUUAUUAUGAGUGCUAUAACAUUUUUAAUUUUUUUUUCGUUUGUGAAAAAUAAAGAAAUAAGACUUUAUGAAACUGUAAUAAGAAUUAUGUUUAUUAUCAAGAUAAUAAUAUUUUAAAAAUUAUUUCUUUAUGAAAAAUUACAAAAAUGAGAAUGUAUCAACUAUGAAAAAAAAUAAUGUAUUGAAACUGUAAUAAGAAUUAUAUUUAUUAUCAAGAUAAUAAUAAUAUUGUAAAAAUUAUUUCUUUAUGAAAAAUUCCAAAAAUGAGAAUGUAUCAACUAUGGAAAAAAAUAAUGCAUUAAGUUUUAAUAGAAAUUAUUUGUUAUCAACUUUAGCAUUACAAUUUAAUGAAUUUUUUCCAGUCUAUCAAAGACCGAAGAAUAUGAAAAAAAUUUAGAAAUAUAUAUAUAUAUAUAUAUAUAUAUAUAUAUAUAUAUAUAUAUAUAUGUGUGUGUGUGUGUGUGUGUGUGUGUGUGUGUGUGUGUGUGUAUCAGUAGAAGGAUCCACAGUAAUACUCUUGUUUAGCAAGACAAAAUGUAUUUGUAGAAAUGUUUACAAUGCAGCUAAAAGCAUUCUUCCAUCCUUCUGUGGACUUGAUCACCAACCUAAAUGAGACAACUCUGCUGAAGAAAUGAAAAUAAAUAUAAACAAACUGAGACGAUAAACGAAUAAACAAGGUUAAAAUGGCUUACUUUUAAGGAAAGGCCGAAGAGAUUUACAAAAAGGCCAGAAUUAAGGGUUUCAGAAAUGUGAACUACUUUCUUCAGUCUGAGAAUGUAGAUAAUUAGCCUUCGCUUGUUCCAGAUUCUGUAGCUCAAACUAUCAUUUUGGAUAGCAACCCUCAAGAUAUCAUUGAAGGAGACCAACGUUUUGUACCGCCUCGCACAUCACUGAGAAUUCUGGAAAGGAAUACGACCCAAUGACUUGUUCGCAAAUUUUAACCUUGCUUAUCCGUUUAUCGUUUCAGUUUGUUUAUAUUCAUUUUUAUUUCUUCACCACUGUUGUGUCUCUCGUAGUGCAGUGAUCACCUCCACAGAAGGAUGGAUGAAAGCUUUUUAAGCUGUUUUGUAAAUAUUUCUACAAAUACAUUUCGCCUUGUUAAACAAGAGUAUAACUGUGGAUCCUUCUAGUGGUAAAUGAGAAACAUGAUACGGUGUUUUAUAUUUCUUAUAUAUAUAUAUAUAUAUAUAUAUAUAUAUAUAUAUAUGUAUGUAUGUAUGUAUGUAAUAUAAAGAGGAGAAAGAGGAGAAAGAGAGAGAGAGAGAGAGAGAGAGAGAGAGAGACAAUUACAUACUACUGAAUCCAAAUGUGUGUUCAUGGGAAUUCAAACAGAUUCAUUGUUGAUUUAAAGAUAAAGAUAAAAGCCCUGUACACUCUAUAUUUAUUAUUUUGCACUCAGACCAAGUACUGGAAUCCGUGUUGAUGACAGAAACACUAUCAAAAAGAUUCUUCAGUAUAGAUGCAUACAUUUGCACACACAAUAAGGAAAAUUAAUAAGGAACUUGAAAAUAAUAACUGAUUCUUAAAUAGGAAGGUAUUUUCUGAUAUAGUUUUGUUCACCUGAUAAAUGAUUCGUGGAUUUUUCCUUUAUUCCAGUUGAAAUAUCUUUUAAAGGCUUCCUUUAAGCUCUGGUGAAAUGCGGAACAUGGUGACGUAAUGUCCCAUUUUUUUUUUUUUUAUAAAAUUUCUUCAGAAGUAAGUUUUGUUUUAGAAAGUUACUUAGACCGUAGCAAUGAAUUGAUCUCUGAAAUAAAAGCACAAACGAAAGUGAAUAAAUAUAUAUAUUUUAAAAGUAUAGGUUCGUUUAUCGUUGGUUACCAUUAUUAGAAUAGAAAAAUAAAAAAAAAAUGAAUUUUUCAGGGUACACCUCCAGAAGUAGAAAAAAAAAAAAAAAAUAGAGUUUUCUGGGUACCUCAGGUUCUCCCCCCAAAAAACUAAUAAGUUUUCAGGGUACCCUUCCCCGCAGCGGCAACGCCCCCCCAAAAAAAGAUGAUUUCCGGGUACCCAAAUGUCUACUGAACUUUGUAUACCUGCAAAUAGUGUUUUGAAUUAUGGAUGCAUAUGAUACAAUAAACUGUUUAUUUGGCAAAAUUCAACAAAGACAAACUUUUAGCCAGAGUCCUACAAGUGAUUAAUGAUUCUGAAAAAUCAUCAAUGUAAGUUCGGACUUGUGACUGAAGGUACCUAGUCCGGGUACUUGAGUAAAGGUAUCUAGUGCAUAGCUUGUUAAAAGUGAUAACUAAUCUUGAAAACCAUAAUCAAAGUCCAGACUAUCGACUAAAAGCAACAGACAAACUUGAGUUUUUAUGGGAACAUCUUUAGAGUUUGUAUUUAAUUGAACUUCCAAUGGAGUCAUUAAUAUUAAGACCUAUACUUAAAGUCACAUUCUCUUCAUUUGUCAUCCAUACCAGUCCAGAUUAUUGUAGGCAUCUGAUGAUAUGACUGACACCUUACUAUAUAAGUCCCAUGAAUUCUGUAUGUUUUUGCUUACUUGUACAAGGAGAGCACUGUUUUUUGUUUCAGCCAGUUUGAGUGAAUGUUGAUAAUAAUAUAUUCUGACAUUUAAUCCCUUACAUGUCUAGCCUUAUACUGAAAAUAUUCACAGUAAAUAUAAUCUUGACAUAUCAAGAACUGUUUACAAAAUAUCAACAGUAAAUGAAAGAUGAAACUGCAGUAAAAACUCAUCUAGACCUAUAAGCAACAUUGCAUAGGUCACCCUCACGUUUCUCAGCAA